AUGCCUCGUUUCAUGUGGAUUGUGUUGUUGAGGUCAAAGGACGAAGUUUUUGCUGCUGUUCAGAAGUUUCAGGCCGCAUCCGAGUUGGAAUCAGGUUGCAAGCUGAAGGUUUUGAGGACUGAUCGUGGGGGCGAGUUCACCUCAAAUCAGUUCGUUGAAUACUGUGAGGAAUUGGGUGUAAACCACCACUUGACAGCGCCAUAUUCCCCGCAGCAAAACGGUGUAGUGGAGCGUCGAAAUCAAACAGUGGUAGGUAUGACCAGGAGCUUGCUGAAAAGUAUGAAGGUACCGGCCAAAUUUUGGGGUGAAGCGGCUACAACGGCGGUGUAUUUGUUAAACCGUGCUACCACAAAGAGUGUUAGUGGUGUGACUCCAUACGAAGCAUGGUACAGGAAGAAGCCAAGUGUUCAGCACCUACGCACUUUCGGGUGUGUUGGACAUGUGAAGAAAGUAGGUGGGCAUCUCCCCAAUUUGGCUGAUAGGAGCUCUCCCAUGGUGUUCAUUGGUUAUGAAGCAAAAUCCAAGGCGUACCGCAUGUAUGAUCCAGAAACUCAGAAGCUACAUGUGUCAAGAGACGUUGUGUUUGAUGAGCAAAGACAGUGGGAUUGGUCGAGCAAAGGGGCAGAGCAGCAGGCGAAUGAAGCCGCGUGGAGCACCUUCUCAAUUGGACUGGACAGUGAAACUCCUGCCGUGGCAACAGAAUCAUCAGGGAAAAACAAUGUCGUGACAGCAGGAACUCCAGUCAGAACCACUGCCGUGGUAGCAGAAACUGCAGCAAGAACCCCUGCCACGGCAGUGAAAUCUCCUAUUUUUGAGACUCCUUCGCCAACACUUCCUGGACUUGGUUCCAUUGGGUCGCAGGGCACUACCAGCACCUCAAGCUCGUCCGUGGGACCCCAAGGGAAGCGGUUUUUGGAAGAAAUAUAUGAUGAAACCAACGAGAUGCAGCUUGAGUACUCCGGGCUGUGUUUGAUGGGUAUGGAGGAGCCGACGACAUUCCAGGAAGCUGAGAAAAAGGCAUGUUGGCAGCAAGCUAUGAAAGAGGAGCUCGAGUCCAUUGCGAGCAAUCAGGCUUGGCAACUUGUGAAGCUUCCACGAGGUCAGACAGAAAUUGGUCUCAAAUGGGUGUUCAAGUUGAAGAAAGACACCGAAGGAAAUGUGGUAAAGCACAAAGCAAGGUUAGUAGCAAAGGGAUAUGUGCAAAGGCAAGGCAUAGACUUUGAUGAAGUAUUUGCUCAUGUUGCACGGAUAGAAACCAUGCGUCUCCUAAUCGCAUUAGCAGCUCAUAUGGAUUGGGAAAUCCAUCACAUCGAUGUGAAAUCUGCUUUCUUGAAUGGAGAACUUAAAGAGGAGGUUUAUGUGUCACAACCUCCUGGUUUUGCUGUCAAGGGAGAAGAGAACAAGGUCUACAAGCUGCACAAAGCCCUCUAUGGUCUGCACCAAGCCCCUCGUGCUUGGAAUGCAAAGUUGGAUGCUACUCUCCAAGCUUUGGGUUUUGAAAAAUGUCCAACCGAGCAUGUUGUUUACAAGAAGUCGGGAGGUAAUUCAGGUCUUCUUGUUGGUGUUUAUGUUGAUGAUUUGAUCAUUACCGGAGGCAGCAAGACUGAGAUAGAAGCAUUCAAGUCACAAAUGAAGAAAGAAUUCAAGAUGAGUGACCUCGGUUUGUUGAGUUUUUACCUUGGGAUUGAAGUGAAACAAGGCCCUAAUGGUACAACUCUCUCUCAAUCUGCUUAUGCUCGGAAAAUUUUGGAGAAGCGCCAAAUGGAAAAUUGCAACCCCUCUCCGACAUCGAUGGAACAACGACUGAAGAUAAGAAAAGUAAGUGAUGCUCCACUCGUUGAUUCCACAUAUUAUCGCAGCAUUGUUGGUAGUCUGCGAUACCUUGUGCAUACACGGCCAGAUAUAUGUUAUGCAGUUGGUAUAGUAAGUCGUUUCAUGGAGAGACCCACGUCGGAGCACAUGGCAGCGGUGAGGCACAUUCUCAGGUAUGUGCGAGGUACUUUGGACUUGGGCUGUAUGUACAAGAAGGGUGGAAAUGGAAAACUGAUUGGGUACAGCAAUAGUGAUCAUGCCGGAGACUUGGAUACUAGGAAAAGUACUUCUGGUGUGUUGUUCUAUCUUGGUGAAAACCCGGUCAGCUGGUCCUCACAGAAGCAAAAGAUUGUGACCCUUUCUUCAUGUGAGGCUGAGUAUGUUGCUGCUACGGCAGCGACAUGUCAAGGUAUUUGGUUGGUGAGGCUGCUCGCGAACCUGUUGGGAAGAGAGACAGAUAAGGUGGUGCUGAAGGUUGAUAAUAAGUCAGCGAUCUCACUCAGCAAAAAUCCGGUCUUUCACGAUAGAAGCAAACACAUUGAUUUGAGAUAUCAUUUUGUGAGAGAGAAGGUGGAGACUGGUGACAUUGAUAUUGAGCAUGUGCGAACUGAUGAUCAGUUGGCCGACAUCUUGACUAAGUCAUUGGGGCGAGUGAAGUUUCAGGAGAUGAGGAAGAAGCUGGGGUCACGGCAGUGA
rnacentral:rRNA from 1 species